UACCGGGUUUGUGCGAGACUCGGAAAUACGUGUGAGGAAAAAGAGGGAGAUGGAAGGAUGACGACCAGAGAGUGUAAAAGAAGGAGAGAGAAAAGGAGGAGAGGAGACUUGGAUAGAGGGAAAGGAAAAAGAGAUGGCUGGAGACCACUUAUGCAGCAUGGAGGGUAAAUGUGCGUGUGUGUGUGUGUGUGUGUGUGUGUCGUUUUUAAGUGUUGGAUAGUAUGUGCACCAGGCGGGUUGGUGUGUACACGAGAAUGUGAGCGCACAAGUAAGCGAGCUCUUCUUUUUUUUCACCCCUCUCUCUUCUUUAUUUUUCCCUUGUUUGCAGCUCUGUGUGUUUGUGACAACAGCCCUGCAGAGACAAAAGGUGAAGCGUUGUAUAGGUGCUGCUGUUAGUCAGGCAGGUAGGCAGUGAGAAGAAGAAUAAUGGAAUCAAUACUAUUGUCUGUAACCUACCUGCCGCUGGGCUCCCUGUCUGGCCCCGACAGAGACCAUCAGAAAGAGAGGGAGCUGAGAGGAAACACAGAAGCACUCUGACUGGGGGAAGAAAAGGAAAGAAGAGGCUGAGUGUAAGUUAUUCCAGUCAUUCCGGCUGUUCCCUGUGGUCUGCCCCAGCUGCAACUGUUAACAAAGAAAGCCUCAAAAAUCGCAGCUCUGUGUCCCAAAAUGUGAAGGCCUGACGCUUAUAAAGUUAACCUGUAGGUAAUUCGUGAUGCAUUAAUAUGCAUUAAUGCAGUUCAGUUUAAUGCAGCAAACUGAUGUGGACACAUUGCGGCUUUUUAUUUUCAAAUUCAUGCAAAUGUUUUAAAACAAGAUGGAAACAUUAUUUCUCCACAGAUGAGCUAUGAAAUACAAAUAUUUCCAAUUUUGUUUUUAAUUGUAUGGUCAUAUGCAGUCUUCCCCAGUCAGUGUGUGUCAUUCUGUCUGUCUACCAGUGGGUGGCGUUGCCUUCUAAUACUUCUACGCAAUGACAUUUCUUUCUUUCUUUGAAGUGUUUUAUAGUGAUAUCACCACAGUUUAAGUGACCAAGCAGUGCAAUUAUGUUAUGUCAUCUACAGGUGGAUUGAUAAUUUGCAUGCCGCCCGUGUCCUGCUGGGGUUCUUCUUUUUUCUUCAUAAUCUUUGAAAACUAAUUUCCUCUUUUGCUGGUAAGUUAGAAGACAGACGCUGCCCUGCGUUCAGAAAUGGAUGGACAAAACACAGUGCAACGCCGUAAUGAUAAGAACUGCACGGAGACGUUGUCGAUCCUGAAAGACGCUUUGAAAUGAAAAAGUCUCAGACUGGAUGGAGUAAUCUGAAGUCCUCUUUACAGCGAGUUGUGGAAAAUGUAACUUUCGUACCGCCACAGUUACUGAGAACAAAAAGAAAAGGUGACCUAUGCAAAGUCUGCAUACAUAUUUAAAUGAUUAUUUGUCAGCUUUGACAACUUUAAGAUUUCAGUGUAUGUGUGUUAAGUUCCAGCGUGUAAAAGGUCUAGUAACAUAUUUCACAUGAGCACAAAUUGAUUUUUAAAACCUCUUCAGCUCAGUGGGCUCAGAAAAGCUAUUAGAAACUGUAAUUUGUCCACGCUAGCUCAGAAAUUAUGUCCAAAACUCCUGUGGCAUUCACCAACAGUUUAAAAUUAAUUGUUUCCCCUAAAUUAAUUGUGUCUCCUCCACAAUGAGCUCUCAGCGGCUGCGUUUCUGAGAUUAUGUGUGCCUGCUGUGAAAAAUGUUACUUUAUAUCUGAUUUGAUGCACUGCAGAACAAAAAGAUUAGCAUGGAUAAAACGUGGACAAAUCUAUCAUGAUUAUGCGCCGAUUACGCUUUAAUUGAACUGAUCAGCUUUGCUUCUAAUCUGCAGCAAACCAGGAGCCCGGUUGGUGCCGCAGAAUCCAAAUGUCAGAUGAGGUCAUUUCUUUGUCUCGGUGCAGUGACUCUGCAGUUCUCUCAUUUAACUCGAAUGAGUUUAAACUCAUUUAAACUCCGUUUUGGCAUUUUUGUAUAACAACUGGCUCCGUCUUUACACCCUCUCAGUGUAUUUUAAUUUUACAGUAUGCCCCUCUGUCCCUGAGACCCUUAACCUGUGAGGUCAAAGCAGGUCACAGGUGAGGUCCUCGGGAACAGGGCUGCAUUCAGUUUCAACAUCCUGUAGAGGAGGGGAUCAUUUUAGCAAAUAUAUUCAACAUGAUACACUCCUUCUCUUCUACAAAGUAUAUCUGAUACCACUUGCAGUUAAAGUGGUUUCUUUAAAAGCACUUUAAGUGCAAGAAAAGUGACAGGCGAUACCUGUCACUGUUUCUUCUGGAUUUCAUGCAUCUCACUAUCUGUAAGUGACCGUCAAGACUUUUCAGGUUGAAGAAGAGAAUGGCUGCUUGUCCUGCAGCACAGACCGUCUCAGGGAGCCAACCCUUCUGGCUGACUUUGUGUUACAGACCCCAGUUGGGGUGCAAAAUAAGAAGACAGCCAAGGGUUGUGACCCCGGCAUAUAUGACAUCUUCAAAAAUCUGUGGCGUCAUUUUUUUUUUUGAUCAUGUACAAGUUUUCAUACUUUCCUGUUUGUUUGUUUUUUAACAAUUGUAUGUUAAUAAAAUGUGAAAACAUA